AACCGAAAGUAGAAACGGGCAAGAUGUCUGCGCCCAUUUGAAAAAAUUAAAUUUUGUCGUUUUUAAUAGAAAAAAGCCAAAUUAAUAUAUGUCAUUUGAUAAAGAUAAGUUAAAAAAUUGUAUGAAGUUUAAGAAAAUUGUUAACUUGGUUAAUUUCAUGUCCGAAGUUUAAACAACACGAUAAAAGUAUUGGUCAAAGUUCAGAUCAAGGGAGACAAUAGAAUUACAUAAGUCAAGAUAAGCCUUUUUGGGAAAAGCAAAAGGUAAAAAGACUGACAGCUGAGCAGACAGGUACAUCAUGUCAUCUGGAGCAUCAGUAGCAGUGAUUGGAGGUGGGAUUUCAGGCCUUGUCUGUGCUAACAGAUUGUCACAGCUUGGAAUUAACAACACAACUGUAUUUGAUACAGGGAAGCAUGCACCAGGUGGACGUUGUUCAAGUCGUCAGGUGAUAAUUGAUGGCCGCGCACAUGUGUUUGAUCAUUCAGCGCAGUAUUUCACAGUUACUGAUUCUCGCUUUGCAAAAAUUGUCUCAUACCUACACAGGAAAGGUGCUGUGAAGAUUUGGAAUGGAAAAUUAGGACAUUUAAAAUCUGGAAAAUUCUCUGUAGAUAAAAACAUAACUCAAGCCUUUAUUGGAGUUAAUGGAAUGCAAGACAUCCCAAGGUGCCUUGCUGAAACUUUGAAUCUGAAAAGCUCAACAUGGGCUGGAAAUGUGAGCUGGGAAGCUGCCUCAAGAAAGUGGAGGGUUGACAGACAUGGUUACUUUGACUACUUAGUUAUAGCUCAUAAUGGAAAGUGUGCAGAUAAAUUAAUGUCCAGUGCAGGUGCUCCUCAGGUUCAUAGACUGACUCAGGUGCGAUUUUGUCACCAACCAGAUUUGAAGGAUAAAAGAAUGCAGCUUUGUUCAAUAUGGGCAUUACUUGUGUCAUUUCCAACUCCAUUAAAACUUCCAUUUGAAGGUGUACAUGUAGAAGAUACAGAUAUCUCUUGGAUGGCAAACAAUACAGCCAAGCUGCGAGAUCCUUCAAGACAACAGACAACCUCAAACGAGUGUUGGACAGUAUUCAGUACACGACAGUUUGGAUCUAGAAAUAAAUGCCCUCAAGAAAACAUACCACCAAAGGUUGAGAAGGAGGUGACAGAUAGACUUUUACAAGCUAUGAAAAGAGUGACUGGUCUGUCCCAAUUACCAGUUCCUAAUUACACAAGGGUUCAACUAUGGGGUGCGGCUGUACCAAUGAAUAUUUUAAAGACUGGAGAUGAAUGUGUAUUUGAUGGUCAACAUAAUGUUGGAAUCUGUGGUGACUGGUUGACCAGUCCGUGUAUACAGGGUGCGGCGGUCAGUGGUCUAGCCCUGGCAGAAAGAAUAAAUAAGCAUUAUACAGGAGCUGACACAAGCAGUACAGCACUGGUACCCGACUUUGUGACAGCUGAUGGAGGAACCAUUGGAGCAUUUCCUACAGACGCAAACAUGAUUUUCAAACCUAGUAAAUAAUCAAAAAUACACAAAGAGACAAUAACAGCUAGUAUUUAGGAAAGUUACCAAUUUUGGUAGUGCAGAACAAUGCAUAGACUUGUCUGUGUUUCUUAAAUGAAAUGUGAAAAGAAAUGUGAAUUUACUUUUACAAGUGUUUUCUAUAAGCUAUGAAUGAUUUACAAUGACUUUAGAUCAUGUUUUCUUGACUGUAACAAACGUUGUAAACUUGGGUGUACUUCCUAGGAAAAGUCAUCACAGGUGUCUCAUUAGUAGGUAUGGACAUGACAUUACAUUCUGCUUUAAUUUUAAAGUACAAGUAUGUAUCAGAUACAUUAAAGGGGCAUACAUCCAAGUGCAUAUCACACCAACAUUAUAAACCAACUAAAAAACCCAUCAGAAGUCAGUAUUAUUUAAGUUGAUAUUUAAAAUAUAUGAAAAGUUAAAACUGAAUUUCUUUUAUUUUACUGUGUGAUUAAAGCAGUCGGUAUUUUAUCUUCAUGUGAUAGAGACU
rnacentral:misc_RNA from 1 species